rnacentral:rRNA from 1 species
AACGAACGCUGGCGGCAGGCCUAACACAUGCAAGUCGAGCGAGGACUUCGGUCCUAGCGGCGGACGGGUGAGUAACGCGUGGGAACGUGCCCUUUGCUUCGGAAUAGCCCUGGGAAAUUGGGAGUAAUACCGGAUGAGCCCUUUGGGGGAAAGAUUUAUCGGCGAAGGAUCGGCCCGCGUUGGAUUAGGUAGUUGGUGGGGUAAUGGCCUACCAAGCCGACGAUCCAUAGCUGGUUUGAGAGGAUGAUCAGCCACACUGGGACUGAGACACGGCCCAGACUCCUACGGGAGGCAGCAGUGGGGAAUCUUAGACAAUGGGGGAAACCCUGAUCUAGCCAUGCCGCGUGAGCGAUGAAGGCCUUAGGGUUGUAAAGCUCUUUCAGCUGGGAAGAUAAUGACGGUACCAGCAGAAGAAGCCCCGGCUAACUCCGUG